GAAGCAAAGAGAGUGCGCAGUUGCACCGGGAACCCAUUGCCAGGAACCCAUUGCCAGCAUGGGAGUUACGUAGCAAUUUAUAUCCUAAAGCCCUUUUGGGAGCAAGCCUUCUGUUGGAGGGAAGCGCUGCCCCGAAGCCACAGUUUGAGCCGAGGGCUCAGCACUGCUCUUAACACACUUGGAGCCCUCCAGCCCAGCCCUACGAGGGGACGCCCUGUGCCAGCGUGGCAUCCCACAUCACUCAGCGGGGCUCUCAGGGACCGGCCAGGACCAGGACUUUGGAGCAAAUGCCUUUAUUUCCAUGCCAUCAGAAGGAGGGUGUCAGGCUCCGUGGCAUUUCGGGCUGCUGCAACAGGCUCUGCACGAUGGACCAGCUGUGACCACAGGCAACAGAGGUUUAACAUCUAACUUCACUUUCAAGCCACAUCUUGCCUUCUGAAAUGUCUCCAUGGAGACCUGCACGUGCUCCGGAGGGCCCCGAUGGCCAAUCUGCAGGUUUCUCUAUAUCCCAAUUUUCCUUAUCGUACUGUAUCCCACAGACACUGCUUCUCCAUCCAUCUCCCCACCUGCAUUAAUCCCCUCUCCCCCCUUUUCCCCAGCAGCAGGGCUGAACCCCACUACCUGUGGCAUCUCCCACGCUUCCAGACCUCAUCUGCCCCACAGCAACGUGUGUGUGCAGAAAUACCUGAACAAACAGCAUGUCCAGCUGGCGGCUUCCCUGGGCAUUGGGCAUCCAGGCAGGUACCUUAGCACAGGGUUUAGGAACAUGGUCAGUGGGAUGGGUUGGGGUUGGACUCAAGGAUCUUGGAGGUCUUUUCCAACCUUAACAAUCCGAUGAUAAUGACCUCGUGGUGGUGAUGCUUGGAGGUUGGCUUCCUUCUGGGAGGGAUCCAGGGGAGAGAGGGUUCUGCAACACCUUGAGCAUCACGUUGUUGCACACCAGUAGACACUUGGAUCAGCUUUCUUUGACUGGGAUUUGAAUUCUUGGGUGUGGAUCAGCUGUAUUGCUAUGGAGUGAAAGAAAAGAACUCGCUGGUUGCAAUCAAUCAAUCCACAGGUGAAGUGGUGCUGAUCUGUACCAGCUGAGAAACCAGGAUCAUAGAAUCAUAGAAUCGCUAAGGUUGGAAAAGACCCACAGGAUCAUCCAGUCCAACCAUUCACCCAUCACCAAUGGUUCUCACUAAUCCAUGUCCCUUAACACAACAU